rnacentral:rRNA from 1 species
CACGCCGUAAACGAUGAAUACUAGGUGUAGGAGGUAUCAACUCCUUCUGUGCCGCAGUUAACACAAUAAGUAUUCCGCCUGGGAAGUACGAUCGCAAGAUUAAAACUCAAAGGAAUUGACGGGGGCCCGCACAAGCAGCGGAGCAUGUGGUUUAAUUCGAAGCAACGCGAAGAACCUUACCUAGACUUGACAUCCCCUGAAUUACUCGUAAUUGAGGAAGUCCCGACCGGGACAGGGAGACAGGUGG